rnacentral:rRNA from 1 species
UGCCCUAGUAACGGCGAGUGAAGCGGCANCAGCUNAAAUUUGAAAUCUGGCGUCUUUGGCGUCCGAGUUGUAAUUUGCAGAGGGCGCUUUGGCAUUGGCAGCGGUCCAAGUUCCUUGGAACAGGACGUCACAGAGGGUGAGAAUCCCGUACGUGGUCGCUAGCCUUUACCGUGUAAAGCCCCUUCGACGAGUCGAGUUGUUUGGGAAUGCAGCUCUAAAUGGGAGGUAAAUUUCUUCUAAAGCUAAAUACUGGCCAGAGACCGAUAGCGCACAAGUAGAGUGAUCGAAAGAUGAAAAGCACUUUGGAAAGAGAGUUAAAAAGCACGUGAAAUUGUUGAAAGGGAAGCGCUUGCAGCCAGACUUGCCUGUAGUUGCUCAUCCGGGUUUCUACCCGGUGCACUCUUCUACGGGCAGGCCAGCAUCAGUUUGGGCGGUUGGAUAAAGGUCUCUGUCAUGUACCUCCCUUCGGGGAGAUCUUAUAGGGGAGACGACAUGCAACCAGCCUGGACUGAGGUCCGCGCAUCUGCUAGGAUGCUGGCGUAAUGGCUGUAAGCGGCCCGUCUUGAAACACGGACCAAGGAGUCUAACAUCUAUGCGAGUGUUUGGGUGUCAAGCCCGAGCGCGUAAUGAAAGUGAACGGAGGUGGGAACCUUUCGGGGUGCACCAUCGACCGAUCCUGAUGUCUUCGGAUGGAUUUGAGUAAGAGCAUAGCUGUUGGGACCCGAAAGAUGGUGAACUAUGCUUGAAUAGGGUGAAGCCAGAGGAAACUCUGGUGGAGGCUCGCAGCGGUUCUGACGUGCAAAUCGAUCGUCAAAUUUGGGCAUAGGGGCGAAAGACUAAUCGAACUAUCUAGUAGC